rnacentral:rRNA from 1 species
AUUGAACGCUGGCGGCAUGCCUUACACAUGCAAGUCGAACGGCAGCGGGCCUUCGGGUGCCGGCGAGUGGCGAACGGGUGAGUAAUGCAUCGGAACGUGCCAUUGAGUGGGGGAUAACGUAGCGAAAGUUACGCUAAUACCGCAUAUUCUGUGAGCAGGAAAGCAGGGGACCGCAAGGCCUUGCGCUCUUUGAGCGGCCGAUGUCAGAUUAGCUAGUUGGUGAGGUAAAGGCUUACCAAGGCGACGAUCUGUAGCGGGUCUGAGAGGAUGAUCCGCCACACUGGAACUGAGACACGGUCCAGACUCCUACGGGAGGCAGCAGUGGGGAAUUUUGGACAAUGGGGGCAACCCUGAUCCAGCCAUUCCGCGUGAGUGAAGAAGGCCUCGGUUGUAA